CGCUCGCCUCAGGACGCGGGUUUGCAUAGGCAGCGCCCGCGUCGUUGUCCGCUGAUGCGGGCGGGUGCCGGACACCAAGCGCCGUUUCCUCUCAGCACUGCCCUGGUGUCUGCUCCGGAAACGCCCAUUUGUGCUCUUCGCGAGGGUGCCAAGCAAGUAUGGAUCUCUAGGCCAACUUAGCAGUAAUUAAAAGGUGAUGGCACCUAUCACAGAGAACACCUCAAAGACUUCACAACCAGGCCUGCUUCCACCAGGCAAUGUCGGCGCGGUGCCCACGGCCAGCUCUGGGGCUGAAAAUCAGCUCCCUAACGCUCUUGUGACUUAUUGCUUAAUCCAGCACUUUCUCAAUAAGGAAAGUCUGCACUGAGCGGGUGGCAUUAUCAAAAUACAAACAGCAGCACACAGUGGAGGGUGGGGAAGCUUUGCUCACCUGGCAUCUUCUCAGGAGCCUCGGCUGCCUCUUCCUCGUGGAGACCUUGGCAGAGCUGGACCAAGGAGCAAGCAAGAAGGGAAGGACAAUGCUGGCCUCCACUGCUGUCCUGCAAAAGGCUCCACAGGAAGCAGUGCCCACGGUGUCCAUGCUCAACCCCCAGUGGGGGAUGCCGCCCCGGGGGGAAAUUCAAAGAGGAAAUAACCCUGUGCACUUUGGGUCAGGUUAAAAAAAGAACAUGAUGUUUUUGUUUCACACACACUUCUCUUUUGAGAACAAUCUCGGUGUUGAUGGACAUCUUGUAUGAUGUCUUCUAAAAACUAUUCCAUUCGUCAUAUUCUAAAGUGACACUCAUUCGAAGGUAUAAUGAAUAUCAUGUGCUCUGACAAUCAAAGCAAAUCACUUUCUCCCUGUGCAGGUCUGGGGUCGCUGGCCCAUCCUGUCUGAAGACCACGAGGGCUCCCCUGUUAAAAUGACAACAAAAGCAGCCUGAGGUUUCCAGAAGGCCCACAGGAGGUGCCAACCUCCGAGGAGGAGUGGCAGCCGGGCUCCCAGCAGAGUUCCCACACUCCUGUCCUAAGAGCACAGUUCCCUCAGCAGCAGCACAGGGCUGUCAUUUCUGUAGAGCAGUUCCACCUCCGGGUUGGAAUACCCUGAUUUCCAGGCCACUUCUGCUUGCUGUCAGACUCAGAGAGGGGUGAGCUCUCCACUUCUGCCCUGCUCAGCCCUGUAGUGCUUUGCUUAGCCAUCCAGCGCCACUCCAACCCUGCCUUCAUGGAAAUGUUUAUCUUGGUUUGAACUCAGAUGUCUUAUUUCCUCUUCUCGUAUUUUACCUACAUUACUUUAUAUUUGGAACACAGUGGAUACUGUCAGAAGCUGUCCUGACUGGACAUCCCGGCUGUAUCCAAAAAGGAUCAGCAACCAUACAGCACACGCCAAAUCAAGCAGACUUCUUGCUUUUGUAAAUAAAGUUUUAUUGGGAUGCAG
rnacentral:lncRNA from 1 species